UUGAGAAGUGCAGUAUUUCGUGGAGAUUAAAUAUUUAGGUUCAGAAUACUAUGUUAAAAAACAAAAUAAUAUUGCUUUUAUUUCCAUCAAUAGAUAGAAUCAAUAGUACCAGAAAAAGGGUAUUAAUUUCAUCACAUCAGAGAUAUACAAGAAUAAAAAUGAGAGAUUUUAAGUGAUGAGUAUAUUUUGAAUCCCAACAAACAAACAUAAUCAUUUCUCUUUGGAGAAUAAGGUUACAAAGGGACAAGAUUUGAUGUAAAACCAACGCCCCUUUUCCAUUAAAUUAACACCUAAUUAACAAGUUAUCUAGCUAUCUAUCUUUUCAACUAUAUAUUUAUAAUUAGUAAUCCUAAUUGCUAUAGCUAUAACAAUGAUAAAGUAUUUAGUGUAGCCUCAUAAAUAGGAUUUAAGAAGAAUGAUGUGUAGACAGAUCUAUCUUAUUCGAUUAAUAGAGAGAUUGUUUCUGAUAGAUCGUCGAACAAAUAAAGCAUAUCAAAGUAGAUUUGAAAAAAAAAUACAGUAAUGAAAAACUCAUAUUGAAAAUAGUAAUAACAACAACAAAUAAUAUAAUCAUUGUAACCAUAUUUAUAUGGCAAUUACAAUUUAAUACAGGCGUAUGAAUUAGAAAUCUUUGCUCAUGAGAUAGACUUUUGAUUGGUUCCGCGAAUUCAAGCAAAAAAUAAAUAAAUUAUUCGCAUAGUAGUGGAUAAGAUGUGCAGCAAAUCAAGGAUUAUAGAAGGCUUCAAAGGUAAAGAUUUCCAUUAAAACACUUUGCGAGUUCGUAAGUAAAUUUUCUUAAAUUAUGUCCAAAAAAAAGGUCCAAACUUAUAGAAUUUGUUCUGCAGAAAUAACUGAAAAUGUGGUACACAUUGAUUUGAAGUAUUUUUAAAAAGUGAUGAAAUUUCUUUAAAUUUCUGAAAUAGAGAAAUGUAAUAAUAGAAAAAUGUGAAUUAUUUGAUACAACUCAUUUACAACUAUGCAAACAGACCAACUAAUUCAAUAUUGGAAAUCAGCUAAAAUACAAUCCAAAAACACAAUAUAUUUGAUAAUUAUUUGUGAAUACGUUAUUCUUAUGUUGCCAAUAUAGAUUAGAUUGACAAGCCAACAAAUAUGAAGUUAAAAAAUGUAAAUAAUUAACACACCAUAAAAAUGAUUAUAACUAACUAAGAUCACUGUUAUUAUUUUUUCGCAUGUUUCAGGAAAAUUAAAGAAGAGAAAAAGAAAGAGAAGAUGUCUUUUUUCAUAAUGAAAGAAAAAUCAAGAAGUAGGAACACACAAUUCAGGAUCUCGAAUCGUAUUUGUUUCACCAGUCAUCUCUGUAUUAUAAUCACAUGUAUAUAAAAAAUGAAUUAUAUGGAAAUUAAUCAGAACACUAAUGGCCUACUUAUAGAAGUACAAAAAAUAUGAGAAGCCCAAAAAAUUUCAUUAAGAAAGCAUCAUCCUGAUAUAUAUCCCUCAAAGAGCAAACAAACAUUUAUUUCAUUACAUGGUUAUAGAAAUAUUCAGAAACUCACCAGCUAGCUCCUUGAUAUAUAUGCUAGUUACACCAACAUAGUAAAUAUAUCUCGGACCAAACAACAUAAUAAUGAUGAAUCACACAGAAAAUUAAAAUAAAAAAAUAAAACACAAAAAUUAAAGCAACGAACUCAUCACAUGUCAUGGGAUGGUUGAUAUAUCGUGCUUUAAUUUCUUCUUCUAACUAGCUAAAAAAAUGUGAAAUAUAGUACUUAUAGAAAGAUGAUUAAGAAAAAAGAAAAAUAUUUUCUCAAACGUGCACACAAGAUCUAAAGAACAAUAGUAUUAUAAUUAGUCGGACCAGUAGGCUUCGAUUCCCAGGAGGAAGAGAAAGAGAGACAUAAAGAAGAUUAAGAAGAAAUCAACCACCAUAAUAUUCAUUAACCAUUUAACCUUCUUCACUAAUCAUAGUUGUGAACUGUGAAGUAGCUAGCUAGGGUUUCUUCUUUUUCUUCGAAGUGCUCAUCUUCAAUCUACAAGAAAAACACCUUCUUCUUCUUGAUCUUCCUUUUCUCUAACCCUUUUCUUAUUUCUCCUUAUAGUUAUGAUCUUUAAAGUCUUUGGUUGGGUUUUCAUGAGAAGGUAAAAGAAAAAAAGUUUAAUAAGAUGACGAAAGUGAGGAAAUAAUGAUGAGAUCAAGAGGUUAUUAGAGGACAUGAUGAUUACUAGAUGGUAUUUCUUUUUUUUUUUUUCUCUUUUUUUCGCUUUGGUUUGAGAAAUUAGAGAGAGGAAAACUAUAGAGGCAAAUUCUCAAGAAACAUUCAAAAAAAAAUAAAAAAAAAAAAAAAAAAAAAAAACUUUUCUUCCUCUUGAUCUUUCUUCUAUACCAUCAUGAGAGAAAAACAGCGUAGAGAGAGAAGGAGCUUUAAUUCUUUCUCUUUUCUUGAAGUUAUGCGACUUUUUCCUUCUAUUUUAAAACAAUAAAAUAUGUGAUGGUUAACAUCUUUUUACUUUUAAUCAAAGUUUUUGAGUUUCAGUUUUGAGUAUAGGAAAAAAAAUUAUAUUGUUGAGAGUGUCAUUCGUGAAAAUGAA
rnacentral:lncRNA from 1 species